rnacentral:rRNA from 1 species
AGUGAAGCGGCAACAGCUCAAAUUUGAAAUCUGGCCCCCUCGGGGCCCGAGUUGUAAUUUGUAGAGGAUGUUUCGGGUGUGGCUCCGGUCUAAGUUCCUUGGAACAGGACGUCAUAGAGGGUGAGAAUCCCGUAUGUGACUGGCAGCCUACGCCCAUGUGAAACUCCUUCGACGAGUCGAGUUGUUUGGGAAUGCAGCUCAAAAUGGGUGGUAAAUUUCAUCUAAAGCUAAAUAUUGGCCAGAGACCGAUAGCGCACAAGUAGAGUGAUCGAAAGAUGAAAAGCACUUUGGAAAGAGAGUUAAACAGUACGUGAAAUUGUUGAAAGGGAAGCGCUUGCAACCAGACUUGCGUGCGGCCGAUCAUCCGGUGUUCUCACCGGUGCACUCGGUCGUGCUCAGGCCAGCAUCGGUUUCGGCGGCUGGAUAAAGGCCAUGGGAAUGUAGCUCCUCUCGGGGAGUGUUAUAGCCCGUGGUGCAAUGCAGCCCGCUGGGACCGAGGACCGCGCUUCGGCUAGGAUGCUGGCGUAAUGGUUGUAAGCGACCCGUCUUGAAACACGGACCAAGGAGUCUAACAUCUAUGCGAGUGUUUGGGUGUCAAACCCAUACGCGGAAUGAAAGUGAACGGAGGUGAGAACCCUUAAGGGUGCAUCAUCGACCGAUCCUGAUGUCUUCGGAUGGAUUUGAGUAAGAGCAUAGCUGUUGGGACCCGAAAGAUGGUGAACUAUGCCUGAAUAGGGUGAAGCCAGAGGAAACUCUGGUGGAGGCUCGCAGCGGUUCUGACGUGCAAAUCGAU